GUAUCUUUUAAAGAUUAUUUAAAUAAAAAGCUUUAAUCUGUUCUUAUCAGCUUAAUAUCUGGUACGUCCUGCAUUGCGGGACCAGUAUAUUAAACUGUUUUUUGGAACAUGGCGGAGUGUUGGGGCUUGCUCCUCUUCUGCCGCGGGUUGGCCUGGUAUUGCAGAGUCACUAGGAUCGGCCCAAUAAAA